GUUAGAUUCUCUUGAUUUUAAGAACAACACGUCAGACGUGGAAUUUUAUUCAACAGUAAAAUCUUUAAAAUUAUCUAACGAAUCUAAAACCUAUUUCGGAUUGUGUGUUUGUCAUGCAUAGUUGUAAACUUCGAUGGGAAUAAAAUUACUCGCUCCGACAGGUUUUUGUAAAUCGUGUUUCGGUCGGACUGGUAAGAAUUCGAUAGAAUGCUAUUAAAAAUAGUGUCGUUUAAAAUAACUUUCGAUUGAUACGUGUAUGGAAAUUACUCGGGGUGUACGGACAAUACACCAUGGGCACGUUACCGCUCUAAGCCAAUCGGAUUAGGUUAUUUUUGUAGGAGCCACCACUCGUCAGUAGGAGAGGACCAUGGCAUACCGCAUCAUGUCCGUGACAAGCUGGCUGUGUGUGUUGCUUCUAGCAACCGUUUGGACUUCUGUCAGAGUUCAUGAUCUUUACACAUGAAUUUGACAAAUCCUGGUGCAACCUGAGCUUACCAAGUUUACUGAUAGUUUGGACUCUGUGUGGAUGAUAAUAUGGACAAUAUAUUUUGUUCAUAUUGUGUUGUGAUUGACUUUCUUUAACAGAUACGAUGUUUUAGUCCAGACUUAACAGGUGAUUUUUCUUCCAGGAAUAAAAACAAUACAUUUUGAUUGAUAUGCAUGAAUUUGUAGUACACAAUAUAAUCACUGUGUAUCUUGUGUUGAUUUUCUAAUUGGUCUGUCAUCCAGGUAAUACAUUAAGUAUGUUAAGGGAAUACAUUUUUUACAUUUUUGUUGUUUCUGCACACCAUGUCAGAUACAUGAAAAUAUAUGUUAUUUCCCCCAACGGGCAGCAUGUAGUUUUCGCACUGUAUGUCGGUCAGUCUGUCUGUCUGUCCGUUUGUCACACUUUUCGUGUCCGCUCACUUAUUCAAGUAGUUUUCAUCCGAUCUUUCCCAAACAUGGUUCGAAGUUGUAUAUACAUAAUGUCUACGCCAAGUUCGAACAUGGGCCCUGCCGGGCAAAAAAAUAGGACACGGGGUCCAUUAGUGCGUUUUAAAUAUUCGGCAUGGUGUCCGCUCUCUUAUUCAAAUAGUUUUUAUCCGAUCUUCACCGAUGGUCACAUGUUUUAUCUAGAUGAUCGCUAGGCCAAGUUCAAACAUGCAUGCGAAGAAUUGGCAGAAAAAACACAUCUACAAACUGCAGUUGAUGGCAUAUGUAACAAAAUAAAAUUUAUAUAUUGGACACCUGUUAUGCAGCCAACUAAUGUUCUAAUAAAAUAAAGGCGAUGUAUAUCUCAAAAACAUUUACACACUUAUGUUUUUAUGUAGUGACAAUGUUACAGUUGGGGGCAUCCGUGUCGUGUGGAUACAUUUUUUGAUUAAUGAUAAACAACUCAUUCAUAGUGAUCUCACUAUAAAAUAUUCUGUACACUAUAAGAAAUACAUUAUAUUGUAUGCCUGCUAAUAUUGUGGUCUUAAAAUAAUAUUACUAAUACUGUUGUAAUUCAUUUAAAUAUCAAGAUAUGUGAUGUAAACUAAUGUGUUCAAUUGAUUUAUUUUUACCGGUAAAUGAAUAUUUUGGUGUUUAAAGUUCAAUUUAUGGUGAGGUGUGCCAUUAAAUAUGUAGUGCUUAUUGCUUUAUUUUUGUUUUAGUUGAAAAUUAUGUUUUUGAAUCUCUAUGUAUGAAAUGCACUAGUAAAUUUUGUUUUCUAUCUACACUUAUGCGAAGAUUUAUAAUAUUUUAACUUAAUAUACAUUUUUGAUCACAAACAGCAUGUAUAUGCAAUCCACAAAUUACUGUUUCCAUAGCAACUGUUAAGUUUAUGUAUUUUGUCUACUUAAUGUUAUCAAUCAUGGAACAAAAUUGAAUUGCUAAAUAAACAAAAGAAUGUCUGGCAGUACAGACGCACAACACAAAUUGUGUCACGAGGAGUUAUUUGUUUCAGUUUUAAGUUCAUAGCUGUACAAAAUGUUCGAUUUCUGAAUACACACCUUUUUCAAGAAAAUGUGCAUACAUUUAUGUAUAUUAUAAACAUGUAAAUGAUGGUGUAUAUAUGUCCAGAACAUAUUUUGUUGAUUUUUUCUGAGAUGUUUUGGCUUAAAUUCUUUAAAAGUUCUGAUGGCAACCAUGAGUAUUUACGGAUUAAUAUUAGUACAAUUAAUUCCGUUCUUUGAAAUUAAUAAUGUUCAUCCAGAUACGCGAUCAAUGGAAUAUUAUCAACACAAACUGAUCAGCAUAACAUGUACUGAUACUAAUAUGCUUGAAUUGAAACGUCAUUUUAUCCACAACAGCCCUAUUAAGCAUUUAUGACAUGACACACAAACAGUGACAUAACUUCGUCAAUUUUAGGAAUUGGACGCUCAAAUUUCAGAUUUUGAUUUGUUUGAUGAAGCUUCUCCACAAUACAUGCUUAACUUAAAGACUUUUUGACCAGUUGUGUCAAAAUCUCGUUCCCAGCCACAUAUCUUCAUAUGUAGACGAACCUCUAUAAGAUAUGUAGUGCGUUCAGUUACAGCGAACGUUCGCAAUAGUUCGCGAACUAUCGCGAACGUUCGCUAUUGAACGCUCGGUCCGCCGCGAACGUUCGCGAACAAAAGCGACCCGUCUCGGGAGGUAGUUCGCUAUAGUUCGCUAGCGAAACAAAGAUGGCGGAUAAGUAAGUUGUUGUUGUUGUUCAGCGUAAUUUUAGUGUAACUUCGAUAUUUUUCAUUUUGUGUUUGUAGUAUAUAAAGUUAAUGGAAUUAUAAACAUAGUGUAUUGUGUUGGUUAAGUACUGUAUGUGUUAUUAGCUAUUUCCUGUAUCAAAAUCGCAAUCAAUUCUCUGGGAGCCGCCAUCUUGAAAAGUUCGCGCCGAACUUAUCGUUCAAUAAGACCGAAUCGGAAACGAACGAUCAGUGGCAAACGUUCGCUGUUACUGAACGCACUACUGUAGAGCAUAGGCGCUCGAUGGCAAUGGUUGGAUGAUCGACUUUCCAUUGUGACUUUUUGAAAAAUGCAGCUGUAGCCGUGAUUUUUUUAAACCUGUCUAUAAUAAUGCGUACACAUACUAAAUCAAUAAAAAUCUUCCGUCAAAACGUCUUCUUAAAAAUAAGAUAGUUCGACUAUGUAUAUAUAUAUAUUGACAUCUAUAUGCAUAAUCGAACUAUCUUUUUUUAUAGAACUAAACUUCUUCCCAAGCACACUUAAUCUAGA